ACAGAAAAGUAGUGGUUGAGUUUUAUUGCAAAAUAAAGUACCUUCACGUCACGCUUACUGUAGGGGUGCGUAGAUCGUUAGAUUUAUUCACAACUAUAGAGAAAGGACUCUGAGCGGUUACCAUAAGCACGCUGGCGACUUGCAGAACCUUGGGGGUGUUUAAAGCGGUUUUUAUUUUCACUCUUUGUCUAAUUUUUACGGAAGUAAAAAUUAGAACUAUUUCUGUGGAUGCCUCUAUGCACACUGUUUAUGAUACAAGCCUACUCGUUAUAGAUCUCUCGACGAUUUGUCUAGCCACGGGAGGCAUUCAAAUCAAGAAAGAACGUAUUAUUACAAUUGCCCUGAGUUCUGUGGAUGUUAUUGAGAAUGCGGGUUAAUAACGUGUACGAAUUAGAUCAGUCCACAAGGACACCCUAAGGAGUAGUGGUUAUUAAUUAGGAAAGCACGAAUUGUAUUGACCAGGUUUGUAAUGCAUUAUUUGUCGAUAGCCGGAAGGCCGUUGACAUUUAAUGGUUACGGCCUAGGAGGUAUAAUUACGUAGUGGACGCAUAACAUUGCAGAGCACUGACCGUGGAACAGCUACGAUUCACAUGUAUACGUAAUUGCCACGGGGUAAAUUACAAUGGGGGAUACGCUACGAUAAUGGAGAUUUUUAUUUCUUCGGAAAUAAUUAUUUUGCAUUAUAAUCGGGCUGUUGUGGUGGAUCGGAGGUUUUUGGUGUGGGGCUAGUGUUCGGAGUCAAUAAUUACCCAAAAAUUGGCUUUGGAGGAAAGGAAUUUUUGGUGCUGAUUAUUAUGGAACAACUAUGAAUAGACCACACAGGGAGUAUUAAGAGAAUACCAGGCGUGUUAACUUUAAAUGCCAGAGAUUGUCACUUGCAUUGUAUAUGAUCGUUCUCAUCAUGUAGUGUGUUUCUCCAGCAUUGUCCUGUCGUUUCGCACCGGCAGUUUUGUGUAGCAAAAAAACCUCGCUAUAUGAUGUGUGCAACGCAGGGGAAACUAUACAUAAGCGUUAAUCCGUUUAUGUAUCUAAAAAAGAUCGAUUGAAGAUGAACUUUAAUUCUAUUACGAGUGAUGAUUUAACAAUUGACUUUUUGAAGUAUACUUGAACCUAAUCAGUUUUUGUAUCUAAAAAAGGCUUAAUUGUAGAUGAACUUUAAUUCUAUUACGAGUGAUGAUUCAACAAUCGACUUUUUCAUAGUUGUCACCUCAAUGUUUUCUUAUAUAACGGAUUUUCUUAUAUGUCCUGUCGAUUUUUAAUUGGCAGUUAUAUAUCAAUAUCGGGACGUUAAUUAAUUUAUAAAAUAGUAAUUCAUAUGACGAAAUGAAGUUAUGACACAAUAAGAACUCAUUGUAAAGAUACUUUUUAAGAUAAUACUUAUCUAAAGUACUUUGGUAUGGCGUUAUUUUCUAAUGUUAUCACUAUUUGUUAAUUUAUUAGCUUUUAGGGGGCAUCAAGGGCAUUUAUGUUUGCGAUGUGUUACGGCAGGGAAUAAUGUUUAUAUGUAUAUAUAUAUAUAUUAUAUGUAUUUAUAUAUAUAUUAUGUGUAUUUAUAUAUAUAAAAUCUUACGUUGUCAACUUAGGAGGCUGCAUGAAAUGUAUCGUUCUUAUGGAGUUAUUGGCAGAAUGGCAACAUAUAUCGGACUUUACAGGACAUGUACGUUAACUAUUUUGCGGCGGACAGAUGAUAUUAAAGGAACAAGCGGUUAUGAGAUAUUACUACGUAUGAUUAUUCGACGGGGAAGUUCACCAAAUCAUGUAUGUUUUUUUUUAUGGCCAGGUGCGCCGAUUUUAUUUUAAUCGUCCGAGUUGUCUAUGAGAGUUGUUCGAGGGCAAAAUGAACAACAGUAGAUUUUAGCGGACAGAAUUACCUAUGUUGUUUGAGGGCAAAAUGAACAACAAUAGGUUUUAAUUUAUAGAAGCACUAAUGAUAGUUGUUUGAUAGCAAAAAGAACAACAAUAUUUUUCUAUGGCCGGUAGAGCCUGUAUUAUUUAUGGCCGGUAGAGCCUUUAUUAUUUAUGGCCGGUAGAGCCUGUAUUUUGUAUAUGGCCGGUAGAGCCUUUAUUAUUUAUGGCCGGUAGAGCCUGUAUUUUGUAUAUGGCCGGUAGAGCCUGUAUUUUUUUAUGGCCGGUAGAGCCUAUAUUUUUUUAUGGCCGGUAGAGCCUAUAUUUUUUUAUGGCCGGUAGAGCCUAUAUUUUUUUAUGGCCGGUAGAGCCUAUAUUAUUCUAGUGCAGAUAGUAAUCCCGAAGAGGAUCAACCACAACUACAUGAGAACCAACCGUUUGAACAAUUCGGGACGGCGAAUUUAUUUUUAUAAUAAAUUCAUUUUAUUAAAUACGUUCUAAGAUGAUGUCAAGCAAUUGACUAGUCCGAAUAAUAAAGUGUUUAAAUUGAAAAAUCUAGACCUAAGUGUUUAUAAUUGACUGUAAUUUGUUAAUGAGCAGUGCAUUUGUUAGUGAGAGAUACACCGUAUGAUGUGAGGAAAGAGGAUUGCAGCUGUAAAAAUAGGCCUUUACAAGCUGUAGAUAAAUGAGAUUAGACAGCCGUAUAAGUGUGAAGUAUUAUAAGUGUAGAUAGCGCUACAGGUUAUAAUAAUAAAGAGAGCACUCCUAUUAUAGAAUAGCCUAGUAAUGAUACAAUUGGUUCAAAUAUAAGGUUCAGUAAAAGGUUUAGGUAAAGGUUUAGGUAAAAUAGUUUGGGUAAAAUCAAUUGCUAUUGUUACGAAGCGAUAUUUAAGUUUACUAAUGGGGGACUUUAGUUGUGUUACAGAAGUUAACACCUAAAGGUUGCAAUUAUAUUAUACAGGCAGGUCGUUAGAAAAUACAUUGUUUUUGUAGUUGGAAGUUGUAUGUACAUACUGGUUGUAUUUUUAAUUAACAGAUGUAGGAAUAAGUAAGGAGCGAUAAUAGCGAUGGAGAGUUUAAGAUACGCAAAGGAGGUGGAAAAUAGCUAAGUAACCCAACAGUAGUUAUAAAGGAAAGAUAAGUUAUAUCAAAAUAUGAAGACAACACUAUCGAAGCACAGACAAACAAAUGGUAAGUUAUAUGUAGCCAUAUAUCCAUACAAAUGUAGAAAUAGCUCAAAGUAAACAUGAAAAGGACUUUUUUUUUUUUACAGAUUUAACGGAACGGGUACUUCUCAUCUCUAGGAAGGAUCUCGUAUUAAAUAUAAUGGAAUCCAACAUUGUAUUUAAAAAACAGGUAAAGUAUUAGAAAAUAGACUAUUAAUACAAACCGUAUUAAUAAAUUACUUUUUGCAGGUGAUGUAUCCUAUAUGGUUUACAAAAUCAAAUGGACCCAAAAAACCUUUUCUACAUGUUUGAGUAAUCUACCAGAUUGAUAUAUGUGCAAUGGAAAAAUCGUAGCAAUAAUUGUGGCAAUAAUUGUAGCAAUAAUCGUAGUAAUAGCAAAAACGAAUUAUAUGAAAUCAUGAAGAUGUUAUGUUCUGUGCGUUUGUAACUGUUUUUUUUCCGAUAACAAACUCUUCAUUGCCUGUGAGGUUUUAUCAUAGAAUAUUUUUAUAUUCACAUGAUAACAUAAACCACCUGUGCAUAUAAGACGGAGUAGGGGCCAACAGAGAACUAACGGUUGCAAACGUGCAGGAUGUAAGGGUACAUGUUUUCUUAGUUUGUCAUACGUAAUAAAGAGAGAGCGGCGCUUGCAUAGGGAAAAAGAGAGACUUAAUGGAAAUGAAACAGUAACAAAAUCGCUAACUGUAUACGUCCAGCAAAAAUGUAAUAAAAAGUGGAGUAUACUUAGGUUGUUCUUUUAACGUCUAUUUUUGAGUCUUUUCGUUUAAAAUCGUCUAUUUUUUUUUUAAAAAAAAAUUUGUAUGUAUAUGCAUAAAGUAAGUGUAGAUGUCACCAUCUGUGUAAUCAUGUGAAAAACGUUUUUAAAAGUUCCUUUUUAAGUGGAGCUUCCGUACCGAAAGCUACGGAAAGUAACACUAAAAAAGGCAACUUUUUUUAACAUGCGAACGCUAUGUCAUUAAGCGGUUAGGCACUGUUUUAUGCAUAUACAUAUAUGAGGACUCAAGAACGGUUACCUCUAACCAAACAAACGUCCUUAAAAUGGCGAGGUUACACAGGAGUGUACGCCAGGGCAACGUUAGGGACAUCUUAUUUCGGGUCCAAUUACUGUUUAAGAGGCAAGCGGAAAUGGAUGAUGGUAAUGAACAUAUGAGAGUCACGUUGAAAUGGUCACUAUAUGACGAAAUGAAUUGUGGGAUGACAAACACUAUCGUGGGACGACAAACACUAUCGUGGGAGGACGAACACUACUGUGGGGUAACGAACACAGUUGUGGGGUGACGAACAUUAUAGUGGGGUGACGAUCACUAUAGUGGGAGGACGAACACAAUUGUGUUCGUUAUAAAAGACUUAGCAAUGACUUGAACUACUAAAGGGAUGACAUGGUAUUGAUACUGUUUUAGGAAAAACGUGCCGUAGCGUAGAAAGGAACUGGCAAAAUGGUAAGCCCAGGCGCUGCAAAUAAAUCGUCACAAAUAAAGGCACAAAUGAAAGGUAAUAAAGGUAAUAAAUAAAAUCCGCUCUCUAGGAUUAAGGCCUACUCCUCGCUAUUAUUUUUUUUGCGUAUUAAAAUAAAUUACUAUUCAACUCCACGUAGGAAAAAGUGGACAGUGGUAAUAUAAAGGCUUGACAUGGCAGGGAUAAAAGUCCAUAUUAAUAUGGACUUAGCUCCUUUACUUAUCAAAUAUAUAUCAAAAUGAUAUUCUGUUGAAUACUAUAAAACAUUUAUAGAUUUAGAGGCAACUCAAAAACUAUCGACAAAAUAUAGUAAUAUAUUUCUGCUCAACAAAUAUUAGUUAUCUUAUUAUAUAGUACUAUUAUAACACGAGGUAUGGAUAUACAGUAGUGUAUUAGCUCUAUAAUUGCUUGUGGAACCUACAUAUAAUAGUAUACAGUAUGAAUAGUGACCGUACUCGGACUAUGAAUUGUUGUGUACCCUAUAUGUAGUAGUGACACUGAGUUUGAAUAGUAGCUCAUUUUUUCUAUAACUUUUAUACUGGUUGUGCGUGGAGUAACAACGGUAUUUUAUAAGGUAAUUAUCUAUAUAGUCGCUCAGGCCUUAUAGAUUUUAUUUUAUAAUUAAUAAUUUGUGACUAAUCCUAUAAAUUCUUGUUAAGCUCAUGUAUAUGUUAACAAAAACUGAAAUAAUAUUUAUUUGUGAUGAUAUAGUUAGCAUGCCUACAUGGGACAAUUGAGUAUAUGUUUUAAUUUAAAGCAAAUACGAUUUUGGAAUUAACUUUAGCCUUCAACUUUAAUUGUAACACUUUAGCACAGGUAGAAAGGCGUGUGAGGUUGCGCCUUUCAAGGGUAUGUAUUAAUUUAGUUUAAUAAGGGAUACACAAGCAGAGCAAAGCAAAACAAGCAAAGCAAAACGAAGCAGUCAUUUUCGUUUUGCUGCACUAGUUAAACGCUUGCGCAAUUUAAACAUGCUAUUGCAUUUGUUUCUCUAACCCUUCUCUGAGACAACUGCAUGUGUAUUAUUUCAGCAUUUUGCAAAAUUGAAGAAUAUUCACGUUUUGAUGCAGAUAUUUUUAAUUAUCUGUGUUAGUGAAUGGUGGAACGACGACAAGUCGAACGGUAGCCAGAUGAACUGUAAAACUAAACGUAAUUAGAAGAACUGUACAAUUAGACGUAAUUAGAAGAACUGUACAAUUAGACGUAAUUAGAAGAACUGUAAAACUAAAGGGUGACGUAGUAAAAUGGUAAAAUUAAACGUGACGUGGCGAAAUGGCUGUGGGGUCAGCUGAGAGGUAAAAGGCUCGACGCACACCAAAUAAGCGAAAGUGUAAAGUUGUUAUUGUUAAAGGGCGGAAUGGACUAGGUGCACAAUUAUACAACACUUAAGAUUUUUCAAUUUAAACACACGUAGUAAUAUCGAGUAAUACUAGGUAUGUUAUUAUCUUAUAUUGGUAUGGCAAUUCGACAAUCUCGCCUAUUCUGCACAAGUGUAACAAAAAUAAACUAACUUUACGUAAGUAUGAGGACGGUACGCUAGCUUUUCACUUGUUUAAGCAGGCAUACUUAGUACUUGUGUAUGGAAGGUUAAUAUAUAGUGCACUUGUGUAUAGAAGGUGUUCCAACUUUGCACAGAUGUAGAGAAGUUUUAUUAGUGGUAAGGUGAGUUAAUAUUGCAUUUAUGCAAAAAAAAAUUUUUAUUGACUCUUUGCAUCUGUGUAGGGGAGGUGUACUACUUAACACGGGUGUAGGGGUAGUAUAUUUAACUUGCAUUUAUGCAGACGAUUUAUGCUGUCCUACACUUGUGAAGGGGAAAUACACCAACUUUUCACUCGUUUAGAGGAGGUAUACUUACUUUGAGUUUAUGCAUGGGAGGUUCGCCAACUUUGCAUUUAUGAAGAAGGAAGUUAUAUUAACUCUGCUCAAGUGGAGGGGAGGUUCACUGACUUUGCAUUUAUGAAGGGAAGGUACGCCAACUUGGAGUAUAUGCAUGGAAGGUUCGCCAACUUUGCAUGUAUGAAGGGGAAGGUACGCCAACUCUCCUGAAAUGUAGGGUAGAGGUAUAAAUGUUAACAUGAGGUGGUCAGUUUGUUUGCACGGGCAAGCGAAGCUUAUGGACAUGUAAAGGCAGUUUAAUAGUGUAACGAGGAGUGGCGCAAGCAAUGAUGUCAUUGGGUAUGAACUCCUGAUACUGGGUUGGCCCUUUAGCAUUUUCGCCAUGAGGCGCUCACUGCAUGACCUACCAUUGCCGGAGGUAAUGGUAUAGUCACCAGUGUAGGGUAAGUGGCAGCGUAACCAUGACGAGGGUCGUAGUUGCGUUAAAAAUAUAUCGUGAUGAUAUCGAAAUAUACAUUGCGGUAAUUUGCUUGAAACGCUGCGUUAAUUGUAGCUAGUUUUCGAUAUGGGGAUCUACUUAUGUAAACAGAAAGAAAUCGACCAAUUAGUGAAAAUAGUAAACGGCGACCUCGAAAGAGGGAAACAUCAACACGUGUUUAAGAAGUUUCCACGUAGCGAAAAAGGAUCUUACUACAGGGCAUAAUAGAAACCUUCUUGCAAGUCUUUAUGUUUCGGUCAAUAUUGGCUGUUAACCAAUCAGAUAUAUACAUAUACACUUCGGUGUAUGUGUACGAAGCCUUGUGGAGACGGUACUUGCGAAGGUAUACACCUUUAUGGGCACUUCGGUGCGCAUAUCGGUGUUUCACCUCUAUGUGCACUUUGGUGCGCAUAUUGGUGAGCCUCCAAGGGUAUCUUAUCCACUUGGUCUUUCGGUGGGACGUCCUUAAGAGGUAUGUAAAUCUAAAACAGCUUUUCUACCUCUUCGUGAGGGAAAAGGGGCGCGCCAGAGAUCAUACUCUGCUGUGGUACCCCCUGUGGGUGGUACAUCCAUGGGGCUUGUACCUGCAGAGUAUUUUCUUUGGUAAGCAAACCCUGUUAAGGUGUGUUAUGUGCGUACUUGGUAUAUACACCUGGCACAUACAUAUCUAUGUGUUCAGGAGUUAUAUCAUGGCCGUACAGUAACAGUCUGGCCGCGUUAACUAGAGUGUUAUCUGUGCCACCCUAUGGCGACGCUCCUGAGGGGCAUCGUCAUAGACCGGCAUGGGUAGCCCUCCAUGAUGUUAACGUGCAACCAACGUCAGGCCGUGUUACCUUGAGGAAUGAGGAGUAGUUCGUAUUUGUAGUAAUGGGCUAUGAAUUAUCGGGGUAUAUCAACCAUAUAUUUAUACAUG